rnacentral:rRNA from 1 species
GAUGAACGCUGGCGGCGUGCCUAAUACAUGCAAGUCGAGCGAACGGACGAGAAGCUUGCUUCUCUGAUGUUAGCGGCGGACGGGUGAGUAACACGUGGAUAACCUACCUAUAAGACUGGGAUAACUUCGGGAAACCGAAGCUAAUACCGGAUGAUAUUUUGAACCGCAUGGUUCAAAAGUGAAAGACGGUCUUGCUGUCACUUAUAGAUGGAUCCGCGCUGCAUUAGCUAGUUGGUAAGGUAACGGCUUACCAAGGCAACGAUGCAUAGCCGACCUGAGAGGGUGAUCGGCCACACUGGAACUGAGACACGGUCCAGACUCCUACGGGAGGCAGCAGUAGGGAAUCUUCCGCAAAGGGCGAAAGCCUGACGGAGCAACGCCGCGUGAGUGAUGAAGGUCUUCGGAUCGUAAAACCCUGUUAUUAGGGAAGAACAUAUGUGUAAGUAACUGUGCACAUCUUGACGGUACCUAAUCAGAAAGCCACGGCUAACUACGUG